rnacentral:rRNA from 1 species
CUGCUGCCUUCCGUAGGAGUCUGGGCCGUGUCUCAGUCCCAGUGUGGGGGGCCUUCCUCUCAGAACCCCUACGCAUCGUCGCCACGGUGGGCCGUCACCCCGCCGUCUAGCUAAUGCGCCGCAUGCCCAUCCGCCACCGGAUCGCUCCUUUGGCCACCCGGAGGAUGCCCUCCGGUGGCGUCACGGGGUAUUAGGCCGCGUUUCCGCGGGUUAUCCCCCUGUGGCGGCCGGGUUGCAUACGUGUUACUCACCCGUGCGCCGGUCGCCGGCGGGACG